CAUAGUGUUAACCUUUGUCUUGUUUGUUAGUGAUUCAUUCCAUUGAUUCAAUUCCACAAUUUCAGGAAUUGGAUCAACCUUGGAGGAACUGGAAGCUUGCAAAUUUCCUUCAGUCUAUUGAUCCCAAGCAGUUUGCGGAUUUUCAGUCUGCAGAGCUGCAUGAGUGGGCGUGGAGGCACUGCAAUCAGAACCAGCAAAUGAAUACACAGAUGUUCAGUGAGCCGUGCACAGAGUUUCACAUGCCCAACAUAGUCAAGCAGCACAUCUAUAAUCGGUCCUGCCCAGUGGGAGUAGGUUUCGGUGGAGAUCACCUCACAGAACUAGUAAAACACGUAUAAAAUGUGGAGGAUGAGGAUUGCUGCCAUAAACACAACUGAAACAUGACAAGGCAUCACAGCCAUUAUCCAUCAGAAACUUCAGUAAGGAUGCCCAUCCCGAGGUAACUUGAGUGUUCGUCAGCUAUACCCAGCCUCUUACGAAAACUUCAGAUGACCCAACACCCGUGAAGAGAUGGCGCCAACUCUUGCGAGGACUUCAGAUGAUGCAAACUCUAAAUUUUCCAUAUUUAUAAUCAUGUCCACAACUCGUAAUAAUUCCUUCAAAGAGCUAAGUGUUUCUGCCAUAAAUUAUACAUUGUUAGCUAACUGGGUGAUUUGAAUAUGUAGGCCAACAUUUCUGAAAUUACUUGGACAUAGCCACCUCUUAUAUAUACCGGUAUCACUCUAAAUGUAUGUAGACACAUGCUUUUUCUUUAAAGCUGCUUUGAAACAAUAUGUAGUGUGAAAAGCGCUAUACAAAUACAAAUGUGAAUUGAGCUGAAUG